ensembl:Mt_tRNA
CAGCCCCGUGGUGAAGAACACAUCGGAUUGCAAAUCCUAAGACGUAGAUUAAUAAUCUGCCGGGGCUUU